CUCCUAGUAAACCAUUCAUGAAAAGAAGGUCAAUUAAGAAGAAAAGAAAUAAGCUUGAGACUAAGAAACAAGUUACUACAGUGACGGCAUCUGCAAUUCAAUGAUAGUUCAGGAGCGAGUAAAUCGUUUCAAAUGUGAUUGGUGAGCACAUGCAUACAUUUAACUGGUUUUAAUUCAAAAUUAUAUUAUCGAUGUGCAGUUGUGGACUGAAAGUAGAGUUGUAACGCUUUCUCAAAACUGAACUUGAAAAAUCCAGUACCAUGAUUUUUGCUUCCCAAAAUGCUCAGGGGCGACGAUUGUAUUGGUCCUUGAGAGGUACUCAAUUCUUGUGCAUUGCAACAGUUCAAAUAGGAGUUCUUCAUUUGCGAUAUAGUCCAGUGUUUUCCCGCUGACUUGUUAAACAUUUUUGCGAUACUUUAUCAUCCUUUUGUGGAGAAGCAUUUGUCUUGUCGGCGGCCUUUGACAAUUACAGUUUUGCAAGUGGCAAUGACUACCUUGCACUCCGACGAGUUCCAUUUCCCAGACUUUCGCACCGUUGGUUGCGGAUCUUAAGGGUUGGAUGGCGCAAAGUGCAUCAGAUCUGCGCCACCAUUGGUGUUAUGUUGCAGGGAAAAUGUAUGAGAAGGAGUUCGGUGAAAAUUGAACAAACGAAGAACCUGAAUUAGUCGCACACGGAUGAAGGGAUGGGGAAAAAUUCUGAGACUACUCUCAAUCUUGCGACAUUUGAAGAAAUGUAAAGACAUGUCAAAUGCAGAAAAUGUUGGCAACUUUCACAAUGAAUAGAUUUUACACUUAGGGAAUAGGAGAAAAAUAUGACUGCAUUUGCAAAUAGCGAUGUAAUGUUGGCCCAAAACAAGAAGAGUAAAGAAAGUUUUACCAGGUGUUCGAGGAAUAGUUCUACUGUGGUCCGUAAUUUUCCAUUCUAUCCGGUGAACGUGUGGUGCAAGACUAUCGAUUUAAAGGAGGGGAAAAGCCCAGCGUCGAAUGGAUGAUGGGAGAGGACUUGGAGUGACGUGUUCGCCGGAUGGCUAAUUGAAAACCCAGGGAUUGUGGAAGAGCUAAUUUCCCGUCGGUAAAACACCCUACGAUGAAACUAGAGUGGUAGGACACAGCGUCCAUUUCCAUGUGAAGAGAUCCGAUUGCAAGUUCCUCAAACGGUAUGGUCUUGUUGUUAGGUAAGAUUAUUGGUAGGCUGAAAUGGUGAUGGCAUAACUGACAUUUGUAAUUAC
rnacentral:lncRNA from 1 species